GGUAAAUGGGGUCAGAAAAGAGGCACAAAAUAUCAGGUGGAUCACACCUAUGGAACUGAAAAUGGUUUCUACAUGACUGUGAUGACAUCAGACUCUACACAGAAUGAAGUAGCUGAGCUGCUAACACCCGAGUUCACAUCAACUGAGAUAUGUGUGCGCUUCUGGUACUGGAUACCUGCAGGGUCUUUUAACAUCCUUGGCGUGUAUGUGCUGCGGAGC